CCAGUUGUCUCGCCAGAGGCACAGCUGGGUAGCUAUGUAGGGAAGGGAUAAACGCUGAAAGCAUCUAAGUGUGAAACCCACCUCAAGAUGAGAUUUCCCAUCAGCAAUGAAUAAGAGCCCUGAGAGAAGAUCAGGUAGAUAGGUUAGGAGUGGAAGUUGUGUGAGCAAUGUAGCGGACUAAUACUAAUAGCUCGAAGACUUAUCCGA
rnacentral:rRNA from 1 species